CUUGCUGGGGUACACGAGUGGCGAACGGGUGAGUAACACGUGGGUGACCUGCCCUGCACUUCGGGAUAAGCCUGGGAAACUGGGUCUAAUACCGGAUAGGACCGCACCGUGAGGGUGUGGUGGAAAGUUUUUUCGGUGUGGGAUGGGCCCGCGGCCUAUCAGCUUGUUGGUGGGGUAAUGGCCUACCAAGGCGGCGACGGGUAGCCGGCCUGAGAGGGUGGACGGCCACAUUGGGACUGAGGCACGGCCCAG
rnacentral:rRNA from 1 species